ensembl:snoRNA
AUCCUUUUGUAGUUCAUAAGUGUGAUGAUUGGGUUUUCAGACUCCUGUAUAAGAUGUGCCUCCCUCACUCCUUGUUACAACAUCAGCACAUUACACAUCUGAAU